rnacentral:lncRNA from 1 species
GGGGGGUUGAAUACGAUACUCACUACAAUUUAAAAUUCUUUCGAAUCUUGCGGAUAAACAAAUUGCAGUUCUGUAAUGUGUUUCGUGUUCCGGAUAUUUAUUGGGUCGGUUUCUGAGGAUAUGAAAAUAUUAAACCAACACACAAUAUUUUCCAAGGUAUAUCUGUAUAUUGAUAAAUACCUCGAAGGGUGCUAUAAAUCCAAACCCGAAGGUUGGCUACAAUGGCUACUACUACGUACACUCACAAACCCUAGCUUCUAAAUAUAUAUAUAUAUAUUACAAAACUAAGCUAUGAUUUAUUUGUGUGUAGUAGUGUGCAAGGCACAAAGCCAUUCCACCAUAAAGGUGGUGGAGAGUGUGUAUUACAAAUUAUGAACUCACAUCUCAAGUAUUUAUAGGCUUCUCAUUAACUAACCCUAGUUAACAACUA